rnacentral:rRNA from 1 species
UGGUGGAGUGAUUUGUCUGGUUAAUUCCGUUAACGAACGAGACCUCGACCUGCUAAAUAGUCCGUCGAGCCCUCCGGGGCUCGCGCGCACUUCUUAGAGGGACUAUCGGUGAUUAGCCGGUGGAAGUUCGAGGCAAUAACA